GUGCAGCAGGCGAGAAACUUUACAAUGUGCGAAAGCACGAUAAGGGAACUCUGAGUGCCUCCUAAGGAGGCUGUUCAGGUGUCUAAAAGCACCUGAAGGAAGGGCUGGGUAAGACCGGUGCCAGCCGCCGCGGUAACACCGGCAGCCCAAGUGGUAGCCACGUUUAUUGGGUCUAAAGCGUCCGUAGCCGGCUGGGUAAGUUCCUUGGGAAAUUUGGCUGCCUAACAGUCAAGCUUUCAGGGAAUACUGCCCGGCUUGGGACCGGGAGAGGUCAGAGGUACUCCAGGGGUAGGGGUGAAAUCCAUUAAUCCUUGGGGGACCACCGGUAGCGAAGGCGUCUGACCAGACCGGGUCCGACGGUGAGGGACGAAGGCUAGGGGGCGCGAACCGGAUUAGAUACCCGUGUAGU
rnacentral:rRNA from 1 species